UACGGAGGGGGCAAGCGUUAUUCGGAAUUAUUGGGCGUAAAGGGCGCGUAGGCGGCUUGGCAAGUGGGAGGUGAAAUCCCUCGGCUUAACCGGGGAACUGCCUUCCAGACUGCUUUGCUUGAGGCCGGGAGAGGCGAGUGGAAUUCCCAGUGUAGCGGUGAAAUGCGUAGAUAUUGGGAGGAACACCAGUGGCGAAGGCGGCUCGCUGGACCGGUUCUGACGCUGAGGCGCGAAAGCGUGGGGAGCAAACGGG
rnacentral:rRNA from 1 species